CAUUUCCUCCAGCCUGGCUGUAACUCGAGAGGUCAUUUCCUGGAUAGCCUUCCCCUUUAAGAGAGAGUGCACAGUGCUGGGAACACACGCCAACUCGGCACUUCUACCACGGUUAAGUGCGUGAACCGCUUUCUGCCUGUCAGUCUGUGUGUGUCUUCCAGGAAGACACAGCAAGCGACAAAGCGACAGAUCGCAAAAUGUAACACAUUUGACAGGGAAACAGCGCAGUGAGGAUGCUGCUGCAUAUUACAAAGCAGCAAAUUAUCAAAACGUAGUCGCACCCGUGUUUAUAUGUGAGCGCCCAUUCUGCGAGCAGUAACGUUACUGCCACGGAAAGACGGAUGUAAAUGAAUUUCUGGUAUAUUUCAAAGGAAAAAAAGGGAAAGGAAGAAGAAAGUGGGAGAAAAUAAAACCGGAGAACUUCCUGAAACUGCGUUACGAGACAUGUCUGAAAAUCAUCUCCAACUUAUAAUAAAGCAGGAAAGAAACUCGUACACACCUCCGAGCAGCCCUCUGCCAAGCGCCACUUCCUCUCCUGUACAUGUUCCAACACUGUGGGCCAGCAGGAUGGAGGAAGAGCCUGUUAGACUGCCUGCACACCUGCGCUUGCAGCCGCUAUACUGGAGGCGGGAGGAUGUGGCACAGUGGCUGCAAUGGGCUGAGAAGGAAUUCUCCCUACACCCCAUCGACAGCAACACCUUCGAAAUGAACGGCAAAGCUCUCCUGCUCCUCACCAAGGAAGACUUCCGUUACCGGUGCCCUCAUUCCGGGGAUGUCCUCUACGAGCUUCUCCAGCACAUCCUGAAGCAGAGGAACAGAAACACCCUGCUCCCGUCCAACUGCUUCCUAGGAAACUCCCUGCAGCCUCCACAAGAGGUAACUCUGCAGCACCACCAGCUGGAAGAAACAGUCCGCAGAACCGCCAGAGCAACAGAGAGCCAGAUCCAUCAUAACCCCCCCACCAUCGAGCUCCGGCAUCACCCCCGCUCCCCCCGACUAAACAACCAGGGCCCCUCUCCGGACCCCGAACUGCACAGGCAGCACCCCUCCCUCAACGGCGCCACCCGCAGAAUGUCCCCGGAGGAGAGACUGCACCCCCACGGCCACGCCCACCACCCCUCCCCAGCCUCCGAGGAGCCCUACCACCUCUCGGUCUCCCCGCCAGUCGAGAACAACAACCACCGCUGCCCCACGCCCUCCGAGGGCAGCCCCCGCGUCAUCCAGCUCCUGCACCCGCUCCUCCUCAACGCCCCCCCGCGGGAUGGCCGGCCCAGGAACCUGUCCCAGCGAGAGGAGCUGCUGUACAGGAACCACGGCAUCCUACCUGUCUCCCCUCCGGAGGAGCAGGGGAUGCCCAUCGGCAGGAUAGCAGACUGUCGGUUGCUGUGGGAUUACGUAUAUCAGCUCCUCUCUGACAGCCGGUACGACAACUACAUCCGCUGGGAAGACACAGAGACCAAGGUGUUCCGGAUAGUGGACCCCAACGGGCUGGCCCGGCUCUGGGGAAACCACAAGAACAGAACGAACAUGACCUAUGAGAAGAUGUCCCGAGCACUGCGGCACUACUACAAGCUGAACAUCAUCAGGAAGGAGCCAGGACAGAGACUGCUGUUCAGGUAAUGAGAGAGGAGCCAGGACAGAGACUGCUGUUCAAGUAAUGAGAGAGGAGCCAGGACAGAGACUGCUGUUCAGGUUUAUGAAGACCCCUGAUGAGAUCAUGAGUGGCCGGACUGACCGGCUGGAGCACUUGGAGUCUGAUCUGGAUGACCAGUUGUAUGUAGAGGAGGAGUGCUGAGGAGCAGGAGACUGGCAGCAAUCUACAGAAAGCACAAACAGCUGCAGCAAUUGUCCUCUAGCCAUGCAGAACCUAAACAAGCACCGAAGAGACUGAGGGUCUACCGACUGCCUUGGGCAAUGUCCGGGUUUUAUACAGAAGAGUGACAACUUUCAAUUUCCUGAUACAAUCCGGCUAAACUUUUGGGAUGCUCCUCAUUUUUAUGUUUUUGUCAACGUGGUUUUUUUAAGGAAUGUCAUGAUUUUCAGUUUUUUAUUUCAUUUUUAAAAUUACAGGAAUUGUGAUUGAUUUGAGGAAUUAUAUUCGGUUUAAAAAAAAAAACACUUACUUUUUGGAGAACUGGGAAUUCUUGAAGAUCCCAACAUACUUCCACUGGGAUUUGGAGGUGUUUACUGGUACACAUCUGCUACAGUCUACUGUUUCUGUGUCCAACUGUGGGCAAGUCUCCUUGUGCCUUGUUCCAGCCUCAUCUGGUCAGCUGCAUUGGGUCCGUACCCACCUCAAAUGAGAGUCUUUAUUAAAUGUUUUUUUGUUAAAUAAAAAAUCAGAACAGGAUAGUUUGUAAUCGGGGUGCAACUGCAAGGGAAUUAAAAAAAAUGUAAUAUAAAAUUUGUAUUUUUAUCACUUCAAACACUCUAAUUCUAAAGCCUGAGGUAAUUUCUCCAUAACUAUGAAGCACUCAUUGAGGUACUAUUGCUGUGAGUGCCUGGGACAGAUGUCACAGAACUGCGUUCGAUAGAACAUUGAAGAACACCGCUCUGGUACAAGGUUUGUAGAAGACUUUCUUUUAGGAAUUGAGUAGUAGGGUUGGGAAAUAACACAUGACUACUGUGUUAGGUGACUUGGAUACACUUUUGCACAAGAGCACCACAGUUUAUCAGCUGCUGAGCCUGAUCUAAAGGAAUACCUCUUAUGUACACUAGUGUCUCAUAUACUUCAUUUCCAUGCACCCCUCAACCCGGGUUCAAAACCCUGCUGCACCUGAUCCUGCGUGUCCAUGUUCAUUCAGCCGACUCGCAUUGGCUGCCAAGCUGAGCUGACCCCUUUUCUGACCCCUUCCCAAAGUGGAAGUGCAAUCAAGUGACUUGUGGGAGUUAACACUGACUCCACAUCAGAGGUGAGCAGUUUUCUCUGUGCUUUAAUAUUUUCAGAUUUUUUUUUUUUUUUGUUGUUUUUUUAGUAACUAAAAGCUCAACAAAUUGUUAGGAUUGUCAGAAGCAAAGCAAUAAUGCCCAUUUCGGUUUUGUAAACAAACAAAUUGUGAACCUCCAACAUCCAUGAAACUCACUUUGCGUGGAAAUUGAGUCUUUUCACCCAGCUCGGGUAGACUAGCAAUGGGGGUUGAGGAGGAAUGUGGGAGAGCCCGGAUUGGCUCAGAUUGACAAUCAAUCCCUGCUCACGGAAACGAGGUAUUCUUGUGUGGGCAAGAGCACUGCAAAGCUGAGUGGUUAUUGCUCUGUGCAAAAUGAUUUGUUUAAUAAGAAACACAUUUCACAUGACUUAUUGUAAAGGAUAAGUAGGGCAUCUGAUUUUCGGUUUUAACUGAUAAAAAAACAAUACCCCCCCUCCCCCGCCCCCCGCCCCCUGCCCCCCGCCCCCUCCCUCCCAAUACAAAAAAAAAAUGAAAUUGGUGUAUAGCCAAUAAACACCGGAAAAACUGUGGAAAUGGAAAUGGUUACUCAAUUCAUGUUGACUUCACCACUUUCCCAUUUAAAAAAAAAAAGUACGUGCAGUUGAGCAAGGUCCCUCUUUCCUGACUUGUAUCGAUCACUGAUUCGUUCUGAAUACUUUAAACCCGCCCCCAACUACUGAGUGGCAGCAAAUUCCUACCUUUCUAUUGGAGACUCUGCUUACAAGAUUUAAAACAAGAUUACAAUUCGAAGGCUUGUUUGCAGGAUUUAAAGCUAUAUUACAGUUAUAGGGAGACUAUAAAACAGAAUUACAAAUUGUGGAAAACAAUAAUUUCAUACAGUAUAUAAAAAUCGAAAGCCCUGAAAAAAAAAAUGUAAUUAAUAAAAACCGAAAAACAGAAGCCCCAAGGAUAAGAGAAGAUGUACAGGACUUAGGUGAUUAGGUUAUUUCCUGUAGAGGAUUUCUAAUGUAGCGCAUAGACUGGCUCAAACUGCAAUGAAACCACCCAAUACUAAAUAUCCACCAAACACAGUUUCAUUUUCAAACAAAACUACAAGGAUAGAAACCAACAAGAAGUAACAGGACCUGAUGGGAGACUGACCCAUGGCACUUUGUGUCUGACAACCUCUGCUGAAUUUCUGGAGGCUUUUACUAACAGAAAACUAAGAUAAACUGCCAAAUGAAUGCAUUUUGAAUGCAAAAACGGGAUUUAUUUUUGGUGAAGGGCUUUUAUUUCUGUUUAGCACUCUUCAGUUUAAAGGGAUGAGCAUGCCAGCUACAUACUUCAUUUGGUACCUGUGUUCUGUAAUGCAUGUUUUUAUAUAAUUCUCUGUUGCUGUUUCAGCUUGGAGCAUUAUUUUGCAAGGCGUACUAACUGAAAUUCACCCACAAGGAGUUCCUUCUGAAAAGACUGUAAUUUCUGCUCAUUGAGUCAAAAUCACAGUUGCAUAGGGGACGGAAAUGACAGACCACUCACAGUCAGUUCAAAGACAACUUUGGAAAUGCAGCUUUUGGGAGUCUUUUCAGAAGCAGCCUUUGUGGUUGAAAAAGGACAUACAUGAGUAGAAACAGCAAUAGAAAAUUGUACAAAAACAUACAUAGUAGGAGAUUAAAUUGGUUCAAAUAUUCAGGAAGCCUAGACUGCAUUACUUUUCAUUUCCAGUGAGAAGCACACUUGAUUGCAGACUAUCGUGCAUGGUGAAGAUGGGAGCAGUCUGCGGUUCAGAAUCGCGUUGUUUUUAAAAGCAAUGUGUUGAUUUUGUUAAAGUUUUUGGUAUGAAUGUGUGAGUGCGUGCGAGCGUUCUGGUGAAGGGAAUGUUAAUGUAACAAAGGUGCCUUUUCUCAGGGCUAAAUCAUUUGUAAAAAAAAUUAUACAAAAAUAAUAAUAAAAAAAUUGUAAAAAUGUCAUUCAAUCAUCUCAGUAAUACAAAACAAUAAAAAAGCAUAAAAUGCCUAUUUUUCAUUUA